rnacentral:rRNA from 1 species
AUUGAACGCUGGCGGCAUGCCUUACACAUGCAAGUCGAACGGUAACAGGGAGCUUGCUCCGCUGACGAGUGGCGAACGGGUGAGUAAUGCAUCGGAACGUACCCAGUAGUGGGGGAUAACGCAGCGAAAGCUGUGCUAAUACCGCAUACGCACUGAGGUGGAAAGCAGGGGACCUUCGGGCCUUGUGCUAUUGGAGCGGCCGAUGUCAGAUUAGCUAGUUGGUGGGGUAAAAGCUCACCAAGGCGACGAUCUGUAGCUGGUCUGAGAGGAUGAUCAGCCACACUGGGACUGAGACACGGCCCAGACUCCUACGGGAGGCAGCAGUGGGGAAUUUUGGACAAUGGGGGCAACCCUGAGCCAGCCAUGCCGCGUGAGUGAAGAAGGCCUUCGGGUUGUAAAGCUCUUUCGGCCGGGAAGAAAUCGCCAUCUCUAGCAUAGGUGGUGGAUGACGGUACCGGAAUAAGAAGCACCGGCUAACUACGUGCCAGCAGCCGCAGUAA